CNUGGCUGUGUGCCUAGGUAUGCUAGUCGGACGAUCCCUUUGAAUUACUUGAGACUUCGGUUGAUUGUUUUUCUUUUUGGGAUAGUGGCAAACGGGUGAGUAACAUGUGGAUUAUCUGCCCUGAAGACGGGAAUAGCUCAUCGAAAGAUGGGGUAAUACUCGAUAGCCUUACAUUCUUUUAGUAUGUAAGUAAAGCUUUUGCGCUUCAGGAGGAGUCCGCAUCCUAUCAGCUUGUUGGUGAGGUAAUGGCUCACCAAGGCUAAGACGGGUAGCUGGCGUGAGAGCGCGGUCAGCCACCAUGGGAACUGAGACACGGUCCAUACUCCUACGGGAGGCAGCAAUUAGGAAUCUUGCGCAAUGGGGGCAACCCUGACGCAGCGACACAGUGUGGAGGAGGAAGGUCUCCGGAUUGUAAACUCCUUUUAUGAGGGAAGAAUAGAUGACGGUACCUCAUGAAUAAGCACCUGCUAACUACGUGCCAGAAGCAUCGGUGAUGCGUAGGGUGCGAACGUUAUCCGGAUUUAUUGGGCGUAUAGAGAAGCGUAGGUGUUUUUGUAAGUCUUUAGUUAAAUACCACGGCUCAACCGUGGGGAAGCUUCGGAAACUACAGAAAUUGAGACAGGAAUGGGCGAAUGGAAUUCCCAGUGGAGCGGUGAAAUGCGUUGAUAUUGGGAGGAACAUCAGUGGCGAANGCGAUUCGCUGGUCCUUGUCUGACACUAAGGCUCGAAAGCGUGGGGAGCGAAACGGAUUAGAUACCCGUGUAGUCCACGCCGUAAACAAUGGACGCUAG
rnacentral:rRNA from 1 species